rnacentral:rRNA from 1 species
UAGGGAAUCUUCGGCAAUGGACGGAAGUCUGACCGAGCAACGCCGCGUGAGUGAAGAAGGUUUUCGGAUCGUAAAGCUCUGUUGUUAGAGAAGAACGUUGGUAGGAGUGGAAAAUCUACCAAGUGACGGUAACUAACCAGAAAGGGACGGCUAACUACGUGCCAGCAGCCGCGGUAAUACGUAGGUCCCGAGCGUUGUCCGGAUUUAUUGGGCGUAAAGCGAGCGCAGGCGGUUCUUUAAGUCUGAAGUUAAAGGCAGUGGCUUAACCAUUGUACGCUUUGGAAACUGGAGGACUUGAGUGUAGAAGGGGAGGGUGGAAUUCCAUGUGUAGCGGUGAAAAGCGUAGAUAUAUGGAGGAACGCCGGUGGCGAAAGCGGCUCUCUGGUCUGUAACUGACGCUGAGGCUCGAAAGCGUGGGGAGCAAACAGG